UACGUAGGCAGCGAGCGUUGUUCGGAUUUACUGGGCGUAAAGGGUGUGUAGGCGGUUCUUUAAGUUUGGUGUGAAAUCUCCCGGCUCAACCGGGAGGGUGCGUCGAAUACUGAGGGACUAGAGUACGGGAGAGGAAAGUGGAAUUCCUGGUGUAGCGGUGAAAUGCGUAGAUAUCAGGAGGAACACCGGUGGUGUAGACGGCUUUCUGGACCGUAACUGACGCUGAGACACGAAAGCGUGGGUAGCAAACAGG
rnacentral:rRNA from 1 species